CUUCAACGAGCCCAACCAGAGCGGCUGUUCGGCCGACCGGUCCCGACCGUAGGUCGCCAGCAGCGCCUGCGCCUC
rnacentral:antisense_RNA from 1 species